rnacentral:rRNA from 1 species
AAUAUUGGACAAUGGGGGCAACCCUGAUCCAGCCAUGCCGCGUGUGUGAAGAAGGUCUGCGGUUUGUAAAGCACUUUAAGUUGGGAGGAAGGGCUUUAGGCUAAUACCCUGAAGUUUUGACGUUACUAACAGAAUAAUCACCGGCUAAUUCUUCGCCAGCAGCCGCGGUAAUACAGAGGCUGCAAGCGUUAAUCGGAAUUACUGGGCGUAAUGCGCGCGUAGGUGGUUCAGUAAGAUGGGUGUGAAAUCCCCGGGCUUAACCUGGGAACUGCUUUCAUAACUGCUGAGCUAGAGUACGGUAGAGGGUAGUGGAAUUUCCUGUGUAGCGGUGAAAUGCGUAGAUAUAGGAAGGAACACCAGUGGCGAAGGCGACUACCUGGACUGAUACUGACACUGAGGUGCGAAAGCGUGGGGAGCAAACA